rnacentral:rRNA from 1 species
AAAAAAUAAUUUUAGUUUUUUUAAUUAUUAAAAAAUUUUUAAAUGAAGUACAUUAAAGGAAAUAAAAAGUUAUAAAAAGAAAAAGUAAAAUUUUGUUCCUUGUGUAUCAUGAUUAAUAGAAUUAAAAAUAUAAAUUUUUAGCUCGAAAAGUAAAGAUUUAACUCUUUUUGUGUUCAAUGUUUCAUAAUUGUUAAUAAAAAAGAGUUAGAAAUAAAAAAUUUUCAAUUUACUUGAUAUCUAGUUUCUUUAGAAAAAAAUUUAAUUUUUAUAGAUUUUAAAAAAAAGAAAUCUAAACAAUUUUUUAAGGGAUUAGCUUUAAAAAAUAAUUCAAAAAGAAAAAAUUAUAAAAAAUUGAGAAAUCAAAUUUUUCGAAUUAACUAAUACUAUAAAUUUAAAAUAAUAAAUUUUUAUAAAUAAAUUUGAUUUUUUAUAAAGACAAAAAAACAAAAUCAUAACAAGAAUAUUAUUAAAUUAGUAAAUUGAAUAAAAUUGUUGGAAUUCGGCAAAUAGUUAUUUCGAAUGUUUAACAAAAACAUUGCUUCAAGAAUUUAUUAGAAGUAAAACCUGCUCAGUGAAAAUUUUAAACAGCCAAAAGCUAAGGUAGCAUAAUAAGUUGCCCUUUAAUUGAGGGAUAGAAUGAAAGGUAAAACGAAAAUAAAUCUUUCUUAAAUAAAAAAUUAAAUUUUUCAUUUAAGUUAAAAGACUUAAAUGUAAUUUUAGGACGACAAGACCCUAUAGAACUUAAUUUUCUAAGAAAAUUUUACUGGGGAAGUAAAAAAAAAUAAAAAUUUUUUUUAAAAAAAACUAAUUUUUAGAUUUUAUAAUAACCUUAUUAAAGAAAAAAGAAAAAGUUACCUUAGGGAUAACAGAGUUAAAGUUUUAGAGAGACCAAAUCGAUAAAAAUUUUUGCUACCUCGAUGUUGAAUUAAGGAAAAAUUUAAUAGAAAAAGAUUAAAAAGUUGGUCUGUUCGACCAAUAAAACCUUACAUGAUUUGAGUUAAGACCGGCGUAAGCCAGGUUGGUUUCUAUCCUAAAUAUAUUUUUUUUUAUAGUACGAAAGGACCUAAAAAAUUAAUUUUAUUAAUUAAUUAGCUUAUUUAAAGCAUGUAUUUUGAAAAUACAAGAUAGAUU